UUGCCUACGGGUGGCAGCAGUAGGGAAUAUUGGGCAAUGGAAGCAAUUCUGACCCAGCCAUGCCGCGUGAAGGAAUACAGCCCUAUGGGUUUUAAACUUCUUUUAUUAUAGAGUAAACGGAGGUACGUGUACCUCCCUGCAAGUAUAUGAUGAAUAAGGAUCGGCUAACUCCGUGCCAGCAGCCGCGGUAAUACGGAGGAUCCAAGCGUUAUCCGGAUUUAUUGGGUUUAAAGGGUGCGCAGGCGGAUCAAUAAGUCAGGGGUGAAAAAUUUCAGCUUAACUGGAGUCGUGCCUUUGAUACUGUUGGACUAGAGUAUAAUUGACGUGACUGGAAUGUGAUGUGCAGCGGUGAAAUGCUUAGAUAUGUCACAGAACGCCAAUCGUGAAGACAGGUCACGAAAUUAUUACUGACGCUCAUGCACGAAAGCGUGGGGAUCAAACAGGAUUAGAUACCCCGGUAGUCUC
rnacentral:rRNA from 1 species